CCUUCCUUAGACAUACCUUGAUCAAAUUAAUUAUAUCACUAAAGCGGACGGACGGAAAAAAUAUGCUGAAUAAGCAUUUAAAUUAAAAGAUGCUGCAACGACACCAAACUCGCAUCGGCCGCUUCGCUUGAGAGCACGGACCAUACCAGACGUGGACCAGCGACCUAAUGUGCCCAGGGCAGAUGAACUGGUAAUUGUCAAAUAAAUAAUACGCCACGGCGUAUUCUUUAUUACUCCUCUCAGCCCCCUACUUGCACUCACCACGGCAUCCCUCGCCCCAUGUCCAAGAUGCCAUAGCGAUAGAAAGACGGGUCGGCCCGACAUACACCGAGGUCGUCAAGAGGCUCUACCGUGGUUGAGUGAUCUCCUGGGGCCGGCAUCGAAAGAUGACAAUCUCUCGUCCGGACAAAACGCCUUCCGCCGCAACUCGCGCUCCAUGUCCAAGAUGCCAUAGUGAUAGAAAGACGGGUCACCCACUGCGAGGUUGACAGCGAGCUCUCCGGCGGUCGAGGCACCCCAGAUAGGCAGAGAGAAAUGGCACUACCUCGUUCUAACCCCUGUGCACAUUACACCACUGGAACACUCCUGGCGGCCCCGCACUCGCGACUGCGUAAGACCACGAGUUUCGUCGCUCUCAGUCCCCGACGGAUAAUUCAGGUAAGUAUAAGGUAAGUAUAAAGUUCCAAUCCUCUAGGUCCAUUUACUCAUCGUACACACACACACGUCCUUCACCGCCUGUUGACCAUGGGAUGUAACUUGCAAGGAAUUUUAUGGAAGCAAUUCAAAUGACCAUCUAUAGACGGUUUCGCCUAAACUGCCGCCCAAGGCGAACAAAAAAAAAAAUCUAAGUUUAACCCAGAAACUGCGUGCCUGCCAAAACUAAAGCUAAGUAUCCUUAAAUCUAAAAUUAAAAGAUAAUUCAAAUUCUAAUUCAUUUCAAUACUUAUCCUACAGCCUACUAUUCUAUUGCCUUGCAUCUACUAUCCUUGGAUUCCUAAGGAGGAUUUGGAAAGUACCAUCAACCAGAUAUGAAAACCAAAAUUCACAAACAAGGUAGAAAGUGUAGUGCAUAUAUCCUACUAUAAGGUGGGGAACAAGUGAGAGAAGAGCAAAUCUAAGCGGAUAAGCGAAGCAUUCUAAGUUUCCAAAUAGGACUUCUCCAAACGUAUCCGGAAACUGCUUUCUCUGCCGUAAUGUAUUGUAUGACCCUGAGAUGCUGUAGUAUAUUGGUAUUACGUUUGCUACCUACGGACAUAACCACACGGCUGUUGUUGAAAACAUAAAGAUAAACCCAACAACGUCUCAUGUGCUUUGGCCCAUGGGUAUGAUUGUAUUAAGCGGACGGACAGGUAAGCAAAAGCCCGUCGCAAACGAAAUGCGGAUACCAAAAUCCUUAAACUUCGUGACUUACGGGAGUUAAAGAUUAGUAAAACACCGUGCCACAUCCUGCAUCUAACCAGCUUCCAGUCACCACCAGUUUGGCACGCGAUCCAAGCUUUUGAAAACUUACGAUCGGGACUCAAUCCGGUAACCGAAAUCCGAUCAGUUGCUGGCUGUGGCGAUAAAAUGAUGCGGUCAACCCGAUAACUCGGGCCCCAUGUUGCGGGCGCCAUUCUUGUCGUGGACCCCGGAGGGUCCGAACUGUCUCAGCGGAGAAAGGGGACAUAGUGUGCUGGCGGGCGCUGGCUGUUGGCGUUAGAGCUCCGGCUGUGGCUCAGUCUGGGGCGCGGUUCUUGCCAACACACCAUGUCCAGAGACAGCUGACAAAAAAACUAAAUUGAAACCAGCUCUGGAUGGGAUAACAACACAGGGUCAUACUUACUUUACGGCAGGCACGUUAUUCGCUUUCUUACUCGCACUUACCGCUAUGGAUUCGCUCUUCAGGGGGCACUGAGACAUCCUACAGUGCCCUGGACGGCCCACCCCAACCAUGGUAUCCGUUGUCCAACAGUUUUGGAUACCCCAGAAUCGUCUCCCCGUUCCCCCUCUACAGCAUGGUGCACUACCCCUUCCUUACCUUAAUGAUCUACUCUUCCAUAGCGAAAUGAGAAUACUAAGCCAAGUGGAAUUUCAUUUCUACGUUAUAAAAGAAAAGUGCCUUUGUUGCGUCUGUCAGAUCGCCGGACUGGAAUGCUUCGACGACGGCUCCCCUGGAUAGCAAGACAAUUUGGUAGCGGAGGUGCCCUGGAUUUCCCUUUUUAUGUUCUUGGUAAGUAUGUAUAGGUAGUUCGUGUAAUGUCUUACCCUCAAUAAAAAUAUAUAAUUUCUUGUUUUUCUUUUUUUUUCUUUUAGCCAACCUGCAGGGACAACAUUAAACGACCAAAGGGUCUUUUAUUUAAAGUGUAUUCCUAGUGCCCUAGAAUGAGCUCACCCUACUUCCUAGGUUGUAUCGUCCGUUCAAUCACCGGACUGCAGAUAUGAAACCCAAUGUCUACCCUGUUUGCUGCCUAAGUUAUUCUGUUUUCUUUUUUUUUUUUAUUUCUUAUAUUUUUAUUCCAGGAUGUGUGUCAAGCUAAGUUUCUCUGUGUAUCGUUCUAAGUAUUGAACAUAUAAAAAGGAGCAUACAUCGGCCUACCUUGGCACCUACGGGCUGCUGGUGCAAAAUUCCCUCGGGGACACUGGAGCAGAUGGCGGCGGUGGAACCAAUGAUGAAGCUGGAGAUGCUGAUGAGAUGAUGAUGUUGUUGAGGAUGGAAAUGUUGACGUUGCCGUGGAUGACGAUGGUUAAAAUUGCAGUAGAGGUGGGUAUUUAUUAUUUGACAAAAAGUUUUUGUUGUUCUGUUUAGUCUUUGCUAUGUUUUAUUCGUGGCUCAAAUUAACGUUCUUUUUCAAAGCUUUUUAUAUUUCACAGGAUCUUUUUUCUUUAGCAUUAAUUAGCACUAAUAAGUUUAUUUAGCUUUAAGUUGAUCUAAAGUAACUUCAGCUUUUUUACUACAAAAGCUAGUCUUUAUUCCUUUCACAAAAAAAGGAACAUUUAUUUGCUUUUAAAUAAAAAACUUUAUGCCUUUGGCAUCACAUAUUC